rnacentral:rRNA from 1 species
AACGAUGUGAAGUUACUUAAACAACCAGGAGGUUGGCUUAGAAGCAGCCAUCCUUUAAAGAAAGCGUAAUAGCUCACUGGUCUAGUGAUUUUGCGCGGAAAAUAUAACGGGGCUAAAGUAAGUACCGAAGCUGUAGACUUAGUUUACUAAGUGGUAGGAGAGCGUUCUAUUUGCGUCGAAGGUAUACCGGUAAGGAGUGCUGGAGCGAAUAGAAGUGAGCAUGCAGGCAUGAGUAGCGAUAAUUAAUGUGAGAAUCAUUAACGCCGUAAACCCAAGGUUUCCUACGCGAUGCUCGUCAUCGUAGGGUUAGUCGGGUCCUAAGUCGAGUCCGAAAGGGGUAGACGAUGGCAAAUUGGUUAAUAUUCCAAUACCAACAUUAGUGUGCGAUGGAAGGACGCUUAGGGCUAAGGGGGCUAGCGGAUGGAAGUGCUAGUCUAAGGUCGUAGGAGGUUAUACAGGCAAAUCCGUAUAACAAUACUCCGAGAACUGAAAGGCUUUUUGAAGUCUUCGGAUGGAUAGAAGAACCCCUGAUGCCGUCGAGCCAAGAAAAGUUUCUAAGUUUAGCUAAUGUUGCCCGUACCGUAAACCGACACAGGUGGGUGGGAUGAGUAUUCUAAGGCGCGUGGAAGAACUCUCUUUAAGGAACUCUGCAAAAUAGCACCGUAUCUUCGGUAUAAGGUGUGGUUAGCUUUGUAUUAGGAUUUACUCCGAAAGCAAGGAAACUUACAACAAAGAGUCCCUCCCGACUGUUUACCAAAAACACAGCACUCUGCUAACUCGUAAGAGGAUGUAUAGGGUGUGACGCCUGCCCGGUGCUCGAAGGUUAAUUGAUGGGGUUAGCAUUAGCGAAGCUCUUGAUCGAAGCCCGAGUAAACGGCGGCCGUAACUAUAACGGUCCUAAGGUAGCGAAAUUCCUUGUCGGUUAAAUACCGACCUGCAUGAAUGGCGUAACGAGAUGGGAGCUGUCUCAAAGAGGGAUCCAGUGAAAUUGUAGUGGAGGUGAAAAUUCCUCCUACCCGCGGCAAGACGGAAAGACCCCGUGGACCUUUACUACAGCUUGACACUGCUACUUGGAUAAGAAUGUGCAGGAUAGGUGGGAGGCUUUGAGUAUAUGACGCCAGUUGUAUAUGAGCCAUUGUUGAGAUACCACUCUUUCUUAUUUGGGUAGCUAACCAGCUUGAGUUAUCCUCAAGUGGGACAAUGUCUGGUGGGUAGUUUGACUGGGGCGGUCGCCUCCCAAAUAAUAACGGAGGCUUACAAAGGUUGGCUCAGAACGGUUGGAAAUCGUUCGUAGAGUAUAAAGGUAUAAGCCAGCUUAACUGCAAGACAUACAAGUCAAGCAGAGACGAAAGUCGGUCUUAGUGAUCCGGUGGUUCUGUGUGGAAGGGCCAUCGCUCAAAGGAUAAAAGGUACCCCGGGGAUAACAGGCUGAUCUCCCCCAAGAGCUCACAUCGACGGGGAGGUUUGGCACCUCGAUGUCGGCUCAUCGCAUCCUGGGGCUGGAGCAGGUCCCAAGGGUAUGGCUGUUCGCCAUUUAAAGCGGUACGCGAGCUGGGUUCAGAACGUCGUGAGACAGUUCGGUCCCUAUCUGCCGUGGGCGUAAGAAGAUUGAAGAGAUUUGACCCUAGUACGAGAGGACCGGGUUGAACAAACCACUGGUGUAGCUGUUGUUCUGCCAAGAGCAUCGCAGCGUAGCUAAGUUUGGAAAGGAUAAACGCUGAAAGCAUCUAAGCGUGAAGCCAACUCUAAGAUGAAUCUUCUCUAAGCUCUCUAGAAGACUACUAGUUUGAUAGGCUGGGUGUGUAAUGGAUGAAAGUCCUUUAGCUGACCAGUACUAAUAGAGCGUUUGGCUUAUCUUU